CUGCUGCCCGCUUCUUCUGGGCCACCUGCCCUCCCAACCCGCAGAUUUUGCAUCGGUGCGCGUGCACGUGAGUGCGUGUGAUAAAAUAGCUCCCAAGGUCGUGCCAGCUCCUCUGCAAGUUCUCUGCGCCCGGGCAGCCUACUGAAUGAAGCCACCACAUGAAGCCACCGGCUGCCCAGGACCUUGACCUCCUGCAGCUGCUGGGCACAUCUGUAAUGCCAGCUCUCCUGGCUCAGACUCGGAGACACCUGACUCCCGGCCCCUUCCUGCGGACCUGGGCCCCUGGGCAGUGCUCCUUAUCUCUACUGUGAACAGCACCAAAGCGGUUUCCCAGCCAACUCCCCAGCUUGCACCUGCAGACAACUCCUUUAAAAUGCAAUCCACACAGGAAGUGUGGAACACCUGUAAUCCCAGCACUGGGGAGGCUGAGGCAGGAGGGUUGUUGCAAGUUUGGGACCACCCUGGGCUACAAAGUGAGCUCAAGGCCAGCCUGAACUACAUAGUGAGACCCUGUCUCAAAAAAGACAAACAAAAUAAAACUAAACUAAAAUGCAAAUCCAA